rnacentral:rRNA from 1 species
UACGGAGGAUGCAAGCGUUAUCCGGAUUUAUUGGGUUUAAAGGGUGCGUAGGCGGCCUGUUAAGCGUGAGGUGAAAUCCCGGAGCUCAACCCCGGAAUUGCCUCGCGAACUGGCGGGCUUGAAUGCUCCUGCCGUGGGAGGAAUGUGUGGUGUAGCGGUGAAAUGCAUAGAGAUCACACAGAACACCGAUUGCGAAGGCAUCUCACGAAGGGGCGAUUGACGCUGAGGCACGAAAGCGUGGGGAUCAAAC